UGACAAGUAAAUUUCCUGUAAGCUCCUUGAC
rnacentral:piRNA from 1 species